GACGAACGCUGGCGGCGUGCCUAACACAUGCAAGUCGAACGAAGCAUAGCAAUAUGCUUAGUGGCGGACGGGUGAGUAACGCGUGAACAAUCUGCCCUGUACAAAGGAAUAGCCUCGGGAAACCGGGAUUAAAACCGUAUGACACUUUAGUAUCGCAUGAUAAGAAAGUCAAAUCGAAUAGAGGUAUGGGAUGAGUUCGCGUCUGAUUAGCUGGUUGGCGGGGUAACGGCCCACCAAGGCGACGAUCAGUAGCCGGCCUGAGAGGGUGAACGGCCACACUGGAACUGAGACACGGUCCAGACUCCUACGGGAGGCAGCAGUGGGGAAUAUUGCACAAUGGAGGGAACUCUGAUGCAGCGACGCCGCGUGAGUGAAGAAGGUCUUCGGAUCGUAAAACUCUGUCCUUGGUGAAGAAAAGGACGGUAGCCAAGGAGGAAGCCCCGGCUAACUACGUGCCAGCAGCCGCGGUAAGACGUAGCGUG
rnacentral:rRNA from 1 species